rnacentral:lncRNA from 1 species
GGGAUCCAUGUCGAUAAGGAUGUUGACAUUUGUAGCUGUGGAAUGGUCUUACAUCUCUUAAAUUGGUGUAAUGACUUCCAUGUUCGGUGUUAAUAUUCUUGUUGGACCGGAUCAUGUUAUGUAAGGUAUUAUCAUUGGAGCUAUACUUUUGUGGCUAUUUAUGUAGUCUAACCCGGGUGUUAAAACUUUGUUAUGGCAAUCAAAUGUUUAUCCAAGUGGGAGAAUGUUGGAAUAAUUAAUAAUUCCAUAUGUGGGCUUCACAUUCGAUUGCAAAAUUUUACGGGUUAGAUAUAUGGCUCAUAAUGAUAAUUGUGUUUGGGCCAAAUUUAUUAAGUGAUCAAUUGGGCCUUUUACACUUUACGGGUUGUAAUUAAUUUGAUGUGGUAAUUUAAAGUAUGUGAGCCGGAAAUAAACCCUAAUCAGAAUUCUAGUCGUAAUGGGACGGCUCAAAUUAUUUCCUAUAUAUAAAGGCUAGGUCCCCUCUCCUCUCUAUAUAUAUGUUUUCAUUAGCUUGUCCCAUUGAUAGCUAAUACUUUUGUGAGGAGCAAAGAG